rnacentral:rRNA from 1 species
GACGAACGCUGGCGGCGUGCUUAACACAUGCAAGUCGAACGGUAAGGCCCUUCGGGGUACACGAGUGGCGAACGGGUGAGUAACACGUGGGUGAUCUGCCCUGCACUUCGGGAUAAGCCUGGGAAACUGGGUCUAAUACCGGAUAGGACCACUGCCUGCAUGGGUGGUGGUGGAAAGCUUUUGCGGUGUGGGAUGGGCCCGCGGCCUAUCAGCUUGUUGGUGGGGUGAUGGCCUACCAAGGCGACGACGGGUAGCCGGCCUGAGAGGGUGACCGGCCACACUGGGACUGAGAUACGGCCCAGACUCCUACGGGAGGCAGCAGUGGGGAAUAUUGCACAAUGGGCGCAAGCCUGAUGCAGCGACGCCGCGUGAGGGAUGACGGCCUUCGGGUUAUAAACCUCUUUCAGCACCGACGAAGCGCAAGUGACGGUAGGUGCAGAAGAAGGACCGGCCAACUACGUGCCAGCAGCCGCAGUAACAC